GAAAUAUCAAAAAUCUCAUUAUUUUUGCACGAGAUUGUUGGUAACAACCGUUUUGCAUUCGCGACUCUGGGAAUCGUUUGGUAAUAUUUAAUCAGCCUUACACUCUAUAAGGCCCGUUUUAUCGAAUAUUGGUCACGUUGAAUGCAAUUAAGACAAUAGAUAAUGGGAUUAUAAACCUCAUUAAGCUUUAUUAUCUAUUGUUUGAAUUGCAUUAGACGCGACCGAAAUUCGACGAAUAAAACGGGUCUUAGAGAGUUUGGUAAACACAACACCAACGGCAACGAGCUCAUCGGCAAUAGCAUCUUAACUCUAAGACAAAGGCGACCAUAAUUUGCAGCCCUUAAGCAUUCUAGUUGAUGAAAUCUUUGUCACACCAUUGAAAAUUAUCGAUAUCAUUCUCAUCAACAUCAUACAUCGCCGAUUCGGAAAAGACCAAAUCCGAGCUGCUUAUUUAUAAAUUAAAAUAUGUUACUGCAAUGCACAAUUCUUAUAUAUGGGGAGCUUAUACAUCAGACAACAUUUUGGGUCAGUGGUAACCAAGUAUUUAUUGUUAAUUAUAAACAUGAAAAUAAGCAAAUAUUAAUAAAGC